UGGCUAUGAUUAGAUGUUAUCCGCGCUUCUGAGAGCAAUCCAUGAAGCAUAAAAAUAACAAUGGUUGAAUUUCUUAAUAUGAGCCG